rnacentral:rRNA from 1 species
AUGAAACGCCCUGUGCGAGUGCACGAUGUCCAGAAGCUUAUUGGAUGCUUGGCCACAUUAAGUCGAUUCUUCUCACGACUCGGUGAAAAAGCACUGCCUCUUUACCGACUGAUGAAGAAGGCUGAUAAGUUCGAGUGGACUCCAGAAGCUGAUGCAGCGUUUGCCGAGCUAAAAGCUCUGCUCUCCACCCAGCCGGUGCUUGCUGCUCCAAUCAGCAAAGAGCCUCUAUUGCUCUACAUCGCAGCCACAGGACAAGUCGUCAGUACUGUGUUAACGGUCGAGCGGGAAGAAGAAGGAAAAGCUCUCAAAGUUCAG